CACUAAGCGUGUUUAAUUUUUUAAACCUUUCCUACCUACUUUCUUUAAGGAUGUGUUUGAAUAAUUUUGCAUUCAAAUGACAGCAUUGAUAGUGGAUGCUUUUAGUUAGCUGCAUAGUUUUAGGAGACUUUUUUUUUUGUUUCUGCAGUGCCUAUCAAACUGUUCAUUGUUUUGUCAGUAGAAACAUACAAACAUACAGGUGAAUUUAAUAAAAGCGUUAUAAAAUACGAACUUCUGUACUAAUCUGAAAAAAAAUGUCUCAUAUAAAAAAUUAAAAAAAGGAUAUAACACAGGUCAACAAUAAAAAUUUGUAUUUUGAACAUGGGUUUUACUUAAUAUAUUCUGGUUAUAUAAGCAAAUAUAUAUUGAAAAGGACGAUUGCAAAUCGAAAAUAUUUGCUUUUAAACCAAUUAUAGUCAUUUGACCAUUUUUGAUUUUCGCGCCCAUAUAGAGCACGGUAGGUAGUAUCGCUUGCAUCGCUCUUUGUGUACAACAGUGUGUGUUUUCAAAUUGCAGAGGAAUAAUGUGUUUCAUAAUUUUCUUUCCUGUAACAACCAGCACAAAAUGUCUUCGAGAAGUUGUAAACGAGACGCUGACUCGUUUUGUCAUAUUCGUGACGAAUUUAUUAAACGGAGAGUGAAAAAGUAUGAUUUUAGUAAAAAUUUAAAGAUUUGCGAACCAUAUCAAACUUACUUCAAUAUACCUGUUCAAAAUCAGGACAAAAAAUGAACUCCACAUGUGUCAUGUAUAUGUAUUUAGAUGGUUAUAAUAUGUUACGUUUUAUUGAAGGAUGGUACGGAAGGGAAAAAAGAGCAAUGAAGUUUGCAGUGCCGAGAAAUUGGAGGGAGCUAGGUGAUCAUCUUCCAAAUAUAUGAAGAACUUUUUUCCUAAGCUUUCAGAGGUGAAAAUAAGUGCUGCAAUCUUUGUAGCCCCUCAAAUAAAAAAAUAAAGGAUUGUGAUAUUUUCCCGAUGUUUCUUAGCAAUGAGGAGAAAAAGCUGAAACAGUUGUCAGGCAGUAGUGCAUGGUUUCCCUGGAUACCAUAGAUCUCACAAUAAUGACGAGCUGAUCACUGGCAUGAUUACGAAUUUCUCCAUCAUCGAAUGUAGAAUGUGUCUAAGGAUGUACAUGUUACAUUCUCAUUUAGAUCUAUUCGGUAUUUCUUAAUAAAUUACUUAUACGUAAAA